AUUGAACGCUGGCGGCAGGCCUAACACAUGCAAGUCGAGCGGAGCGGCGGACGGGGGAGUAAUGCCUAGGAAUCUGCCUGGUAGUGGGGGAUAACGUCCGGAAACGGGCGCUAAUACCGCAUACUAACAGAUGAGUCGAGGUCGGAUUAGCUAGAUGGUGGGGUAAAGGCCUACCAAGGCGACGAUACGUAACUGGUCUGAGAGGAUGAUCAGUCACACUGGAACUGAGACACGGUCCAGACGCCUACGGGAGGCAGGAGUGGAGAAUAUUCGACAAUCGGCGCGAGACUGAACCAGCAACGCCGCGUGAAAGAAGACGGUCUUCGGAUUGUAAACUUCUGUAGACAGGGAAGCGGUACCUGUCGAAUAAGCCACGGCUAACUACGUGCCAGCAGCCGCGGUAAUAC
rnacentral:rRNA from 1 species